UAAUAUGCGAGUGUUUGGGUGUUAAACCCAUACGCGUAAUGAAAGUGAACGGAGGUGAGAACCCUUAAGGGUGCAUCAUCGACCGAUCCUGAUGUCUUCGGAUGGAUUUGAGUAAGAGCAUAUUGGGUGCGACCCGAAAGAUGGUGAUCUAUACGUGAAUAGGGUGAAGCCAGAGGAAACUCUGGUGGAGGCUCGCAGCGGUUCUGACGUGCAAAUCGAUCGUCAAAUUUGCGUAUAGGGGCGAAAGACUAAUCG
rnacentral:rRNA from 1 species